AGCUUGCUCCCGGAUGUUAGCGGCGGACGGGUGAGUAACACGUGGGUAACCUGCCUGUAAGACUGGGAUAACUCCGGGAAACCGGAGCUAAUACCGGAUAGUUCCUUGAACCGCAUGGUUCAAGGAUGAAAGACGGUUUCGGCUGUCACUUACAGAUGGACCCGCGGCGCAUUAGCUAGUUGGUGAGGUAACGGCUCACCAAGGCGACGAUGCGUAGCCGACCUGAGAGGGUGAUCGGCCACACUGGGACUGAGACACGGCCCAGACUCCUACGGGAGGCAGCAGUAGGGAAUCUUCCGCAAUGGACGAAAGUCUGACGGAGCAACGCCGCGUGAGUGAUGAAGGUUUUCGGAUCGUAAAGCUCUGUUGUUAGGGAAGAACAAGUGCAAGAGUAACUGCUUGCACCUUGACGGUACCUAACCAGAAAGCCACGGCUAACUACGUGCCAGCAGCCGCGGUAAUACGUAGGUGGCAAGCGUUGUCCGGAAUUAUUGGGCGUAAAGGGCUCGCAGGCGGUUUCUUAAGUCUGAUGUGAAAGCCCCCGGCUCAACCGGGGAGGGUCAUUGGAAACUGGGAAACUUGAGUGCAGAAGAGGAGAGUGGAAUUCCACGUGUAGCGGUGAAAUGCGUAGAGAUGUGGAGGAACACCAGUGGCGAAGGCGACUCUCUGGUCUGUAACUGACGCUGAGGAGCGAAAGCGUGGGGAGCGAACAGGAUUAGAUACCCUGGUAGUCCACGCCGUAAACGAUGAGUGCUAAGUGUUAGGGGGUUUCCGCCCCUUA
rnacentral:rRNA from 1 species